rnacentral:rRNA from 1 species
UACGUAGGGGGCAAGCGUUGUCCGGAAUCAUUGGGCGUAAAGAGCGUGUAGGCGGCUCGAUAAGGCUGCUGUGAAAGUCCAGGGCUCAACCCUGGAAGGCCGGUGGAAACUGUCGGGCUAGAGUCCGGAAGAGGCGAGUGGAAUUCCCGGUGUAGCGGUGAAAUGCGUAGAUAUCUGGAGGAACACCGGUGGCGAAGGCGGCAUCCUGGACCGACACUGACGCUGAGGAGCGAAAGCCAGGGGAGCAAACGGG